rnacentral:rRNA from 1 species
UACGUAGGCAGCAAGCGUUGUUCGGAGUUACUGGGCGUAAAGGGUGCGUAGGCGGCCCUGUAAGUAUGGUGUGAAAUCUCCCGGCUUAACUGGGAGGGUGCGCUAUAGACUGCGGGGCUCGAGUGUGGGAGAGGAAAGUGGAAUUCCUGAUGUAGCGGUGAAAUGCGUAGAUAUCAGGAGGAACACCGGUGGUGUAAACGGCUUUCUGGACCAUAACUGACGCUGAGGCACGAAAGCGUGGGUAGCAAACAGG